UCCUACGGGGGGCAGCAGUGAGGAAUAUUGGUCAAUGGUCGGGAGACUGAACCAGCCAAGCCGCGUGAGGGAUGAAGGUACAGAGUAUCGUAAACCUCUUUUGUCAGGGAACAAAGGCGGGGACGUGUCCCCGGAUGAGUGUACCUGAAAAAAAAGCAUCGGCUAACUCCGUGCCAGCAGCCGCGGUAAUACGGAGGAUGCGAGCGUUAUCCGGAUUUAUUGGGUUUAAAGGGUGCGCAGGCGGUCUGUUAAGUCAGCGGUCAAAGCCCGGGGCUCAAACCCGGCCCGCCGUUGAAACUGGCAGG
rnacentral:rRNA from 1 species